rnacentral:rRNA from 1 species
UGGGGAAUUUUGGACAAUGGGGGCAACCCUGAUCCAGCCAUGCCGCGUGCGGGAAGAAGGCCUUCGGGUUGUAAACCGCUUUUGUCGGGGAAGAAACGCGCUGCAUUAAUACUGCGGCGUAAUGACGGUACCCGAAGAAUAAGCACCGGCUAACUACGUGCCAGCAGCCGCGGUAAUACGUAGGGUGCAAGCGUUACUCGGAAUUACUGGGCGUAAAGCGUGCGUAGGCGGUUCGUUAAGUCUGCCGUGAAAGCCCCGGGCUCAACCUGGGAAUUGCGGUGGAUACUGGCGGGCUAGAGUACGGUAGAGGGUGGUGGAAUUCCCGGUGUAACAGUGAAAUGCGUAGAGAUCGGGAGGAACAUCUGUGGCGAAGGCGGCCACCUGGACCAGUACUGACGCUGAGGCACGAAAGCGUGGGGAGCAAA